ACUCCUACGGGAGGCAGCAGUGGGGAAUAUUGCACAAUGGGGGAAACCCUGAUGCAGCCAUGCCGCGUGUGUGAAGAAGGCCUUCGGGUUGUAAAGCACUUUCAGUAGGGAGGAAGGUAGUGUAGUUAACACCUGCAUUAUUUGACGUUACCUACAGAAGAAGCACCGGCUAACUCCGUGCCAGCAGCCGCGGUAAUACGGAGGGUGCGAGCGUUAAUCGGAAUUACUGGGCGUAAAGCGCAUGCAGGCGGCCUGUUAAGUCAGAUGUGAAAGCCCGGGGCUUAACCUCGGAAUUGCAUUUGAAACUGGCAGGCUAGAGUCUUGUAGAGGGGUUAGAAUUUCGAGGUGUAGCGGUGAAAUGCGUAGAGAUCUGAAGGAAUACCAGUGGCGAAGGCGGCCCCUGGACAAAGACUGACGCUCAGAUGCGAAAGCGUGGGAGCAAACGAGGAUUAGAUACCCCGUGGUAGACUGUCA
rnacentral:rRNA from 1 species